CGGAGGGUGCAAGCGUUGUCCGGAUUUAUUGGGUUUAAAGGGUGCGUAGGCGGCCUAUUAAGUCAGUGGUGAAAUCCUAUAGCUUAACUAUAGAAUUGCCAUUGAUACUGAUUGGCUUGAGUACAGACGAGGUAGGCGGAAUUGAUAGUGUAGCGGUGAAAUGCAUAGAUACUAUCAAGAACACCGAUUGCGAAGGCAGCUUACUAGGCUGUAACUGACGCUGAGGCACGAAAGCGUGGGGAGCAAACAGGAUUAGAUACCCUGGUAGUCCACGCCGUAAACGAUGAUUACUCGAUGUUAGCGAUAUACCGUUAGCGUCUUAGCGAAAGCGUUAAGUAAUCCACCUGGGGAGUACGCUCGCAAGAGUG
rnacentral:rRNA from 1 species